rnacentral:rRNA from 1 species
ACGCUCGACACCUACGGGAGGUAGCAGUGGGGAAUAUUGCACAAUGGGGGAAACCCUGAUGUAGCAACGCCGCGUGAAGGAAGACGGUUUUCGGAUUGUAAACUUCUGUUCUUAGUGAAGAUAGUGACGGUAGCUAAGGAGCAAGCCACGGCUAACUACGUGCUAGCAGCCGCGGUAAUCUGAGCGGGCUGGCAAGGC